GAUUAAGCCAUGCAUGUCUAAGUACAAACUUUUACACGGUAACACCGCGAAUGGCUCAUUAAAUCAGUUAUGGUUUAUUAGAUGGUGCUAUCCUACUCGGAUAACUGUGGUAAUUCUAGAGCUAAUACGUGAUACAAAGCUCCGACCCUCGUUUGGAAAGAGCGCCUUUAUUAGAUCAAGAUCAACCGGUUUGGCGCGACGUGGCGUUUUCGCCGUCAAAAGCGGAGCGCGCUCGCGCCGUGCCGCCAUAAAGCGUGAUGAUUCUGAAUAACGUGUUUUCUCGCCGAUCGUAUGGCCCCGCGCCGACGACGCAUCUUUCAAAUGUCUGCCCUAUCAACUUUCGUUGGUAGAUGUUAUGCUUACCAAGGUACUUACGGGUAACGGGGGAUCAGGGUUCGAUCCCGGAGAGGGAGCAUGAGAAACGGCUACCACAUCCAAGGAAGGCAGCAGGCGCGCAAAUUACCCACUCUUAGCACGAGGAGGUAGUGACGAAAAAUAACAAUACGGGACUCUUUCGAGGCCCCGUAAUUGGAAUGAGUACACUCUAAACCCGUUAACGAGGAUCGAUUGGAGGGCAAGUCUGGUGCCAGCAGCCGCGGUAAUUCCAGCUCCAAUAGCGUAUAUUAAAGCUGUUGCAGUUAAAAAGCUCGUAGUCGGACGUCGGGCGGCGGCCAACGGUUCGGUUCCGUGCCGAUUACUGCUGGUCGCGGCCUCCACGCCGGCCGUCUCGUUUGGGUGCUCUUAACUGCAGUGCCUCGAGUAGCCGGAGCGUUUACUUUGAAAAAAUUAGAGUGUUCAAGGCAGGCCACGAGCCUGAAUGAUGGUGCAUGGAAUAAUGGAAUAGGACCUCGGUUCUAUUUUGUUGGUCUUCGGAACUGGAGGUAAUGAUUAAUAGGGACCGACGGGGGCAUUCGUAUUGCGGCGUUAGAGGUGAAAUUCUUGGAUCGUCGCACGACGGACUACUGCGAAAGCAUUUGCCAAGCAUGUUUUCAUUGAUCAAGAGCGAAAGUCAGAGGAUCGAAGACGAUCAGAUACCGUCCUAGUUCUGACCAUAAACGAUGCCGACUAGCGAUCCGGCUCCGUUGCUUCAUAAGACUGGCCGGGCAGCUCCCGGGAAACCAAAGUUUCUGGGUUCCGGGGGAAGUAUGGUUGCAAAGCUGAAACUUAAAGGAAUUGACGGAAGGGCACCACCAGGAGUGGAGCCUGCGGCUUAAUUUGACUCAACACGGGAAAACUCACCCGGCCCGGACACCGUAAGGAUUGGCAGGUUGAAAGCUCUUUCUUGAUUCGGUGGGUGGUGGUGCAUG
rnacentral:rRNA from 1 species